GGUUAGAGGCGUAUGCUCAUAGUGAGGUGCAAAAGCUACACCAGGGAGCAGGGUGGAGAUGAGAAACGGCGAAACCGUUAACAGAUACUGAGGACCACACCAGUAUAGCCAGGGUACCCUGGAGGAAGCUCAAACACCGAAAGAUAAUGGAUUUGCAGACAGAUUUACUUUCAGCACCUCUCCUUCUGAACUAUGAAAAAGUCUGUGCAGUCUUUCAUCAAUUUGACUUCCUCUCCAGUGAUGGUCCCCUCGGUGUCGGAGCCCCCUGUCCCACCUCGUCACAUCAGCCAGAGUGUCCGGAAUCGGGAGUCUGUCUGAACCAGAGCGAAUUGUUUCUUCCAUCAACAUUUCUACCCGGUGUUACUUUCUCUUUUAGGAUGCGUGUGAACUGAAUGUGUCGUCUCUCAGCCCGUGGCCCAGUCCUGCAGAUGAUGCAUUAUUUUUCACUAAAGUGUGGUUUUCCCUCUGGUUUUGUGCAAACUGACACUACAUGCCUGACUCUGUGAAAUGUUUGAGUUCCGGAUGCUUCCAUCAGUAUGAGCUCAAUGAGACACUCAAGUCAGUUAGUUCCAAACUGCUGAGAAGUGACUUGAGACUGAGACACAUCAUGAACAAAUCCGAUACAUACUUGUUCCAUAGUUCAUUCUGAAAGUCUUGAGACUUCCAUCAACUAGCAGUGGCUCAAAUCACUAUUCUGUGUUUAAUAACUACUUUCCAAUCCUACUUGACAGGCCAACUAAGGGUCAGUCCCCUGUGCAGAUGUAAAAUUUGAAUCCAGAUAACGAUGGGUGCCCACAUAUUGUCUGAAAUUAUUAAAAUAAAUAUAAAUUGUGGAUUAAUAUUGAUGGGAAAUCUAAAUAAAUAAUGAGUAACACCUCUGGUUUGGCCAACUCACCUCUAAUUGACCUGUCAUUAUCAUCUCUCAUGAAUAUCUGCCGGGGUGGAUAUUUGCUGUAAUCAUUCAAUUCUUACUCAAAGCCUUUUCCUUCCUGCACGUAUAUUUACCGCUGAUUAAGUGACGGGAGUUUAUAUUCACUUUCCCUGAGUAAGUGAUGGUUAUACUCCACUGUUUUCUCUGCUUGUGACUGUUUAUCCCAGUAUCCCACUGUCCUCAGGCCCCCCUCUGCGCUCUUAUCUCAGGAGAGGCUGUCUGUGCUGGAUUGCUGAGUCACCUUUCGUUGGAAGCCGCCCUUAUCUCCUAAGAAGCACAACAUUCAGGCAGUUGGUUGCAAAAGGAGGAACUUUGGGCAGGAGCACUGUGGCCCGCUGUGUCUUCACGGCCAUUAUAGGGAUUGCAGCAACGCUCGCCGACUUCCUCAAAGCCUCGCGACUGGCGCUGCUUUCGUCUACAAGGUCGGAAGCUGUAGUUCUCGGACACCUGCAGGUAUGACAAGGCUGCAGGAGGACGGGUGCGACUCCUGUGGCCACACUGACGGAAUGCUGGGACUUUAAUGUGACGCGGCGCUAUCAGUGAACGCAGAGGUGUCCAAUCGUGCCUGGGGUCUUCCAUGACCCAGAGAUAGUGUCCCCUUCUGUGACACAGCAGCUUCACUCACUCACAUGUCUGAGAAGCAAAAUACUGUCAGACCAAUGAUUCAGUGAAGACUUUAGAGAGGCUACUGCAAAAACUGGCAUCGAUACUCAACACUGGCUGAGUUAAUGAUAAUCAUCCUAAAUGCUGACUUCUAAAAAGCAUGUAAAUUGUUAUUGGUAAUGUUUACAAAUUAAAGCAAAAUUCUGCAGAGGGCUUCAAUGUUUUUUAUUGCAAACACUAUAUAAUAAUAUUACUUAACUCUGCAGCCUCUAAGAUCAUACCUCACAUACAGACUGCAAUCGACAGCUAUACAAAUCAAACCAAACAUAA